UACGGGGGGGGCAAGCGUUGUUCGGAAUUACUGGGCGUAAAGGGCGCGUAGGCGGCCUUCUAAGUCGGACGUGAAAUCCCUCGGCUUAACCGAGGAACUGCGUCCGAGACUGAAAGGCUUGAAUCCGGGAGAGGGAUGUGGAAUUCCAGGUGUAGCGGUGAAAUGCGUAGAUAUCUGGAGGAACACCGGUGGCGAAGGCGGCAUCCUGGACCGGCAUUGACGUUGAGGCGCGAAAGCUAGGGGAGCAAACGGG
rnacentral:rRNA from 1 species